GACGAACGCUGGCGGCGUGCUUAACACAUGCAAGUCGAACGGAAAGGCCCUGCUUUUGUGGGGUGCUCGAGUGGCGAACGGGUGAGUAACACGUGAGUAACCUGCCCUUGACUUUGGGAUAACUUCAGGAAACUGGGGCUAAUACCGGAUAGGAGCUCCUGCUGCAUGGUGGGGGUUGGAAAGUUUCGGCGGUUGGGGAUGGACUCGCGGCUUAUCCGCUUGUUGGUGGGGUAGUGGCUUACCAGGGCUUUGACGGGUAGCCGGCCUGAGAGGGUGACCGGCCACAUUGGGACUGAGAUACGGCCCAGACUCCUACGGGAGGCAGCAGUGGGGAAUAUUGCACAAUGGGCGGAAGCCUGAUGCAGCAACGCCGCGUGCGGGAUGACGGCCUUCGGGUUGUAAACCGCUUUCGCCUGUGACGAAGCGUGAGUGACGGUAAUGAGUAAAGAAGCACCGGCUAACUACGUG
rnacentral:rRNA from 1 species